UUAAUUUACAAUAACAAGAGGGCCCCCGAAUAAACAAAAGUAAAGAGGAUUGUGAACCUACGGUUUGGAAAAUGCAGAUCCAACGGUAGUCCUCGAUGUGAUCAGCUAUCUACAGCCUAUACUGAACCUGAAAUGGGUGGAAAGGAGGGUGGUGAGAUUAUAAAAUCCCAAUGAGUAAACAGAUAUCAUCAUAAAUAUCUAGAGUUGAGUACAUGGAGACAAUAAAAUAAAUCAUCGUAAACUGGGUCACAGCAUAAGAAUACAUUUCAUUUAAAAUAUGUAAAGAGGCUUAUGAAUCUCAUAAAAACUAGGCUUGUGUCAUAAAUCCAUUCUCGGGGACACCUUGACCUAGGCAUCCUACUGAGACCGCCAAGGCUAUUAAAAUUCACAUUUCACAUAAAUCAUGUUUUUGUUUUGAAAACAUAGCCAUUCCUUGGCGUUGGCUGAGUUCCCCCUCACGUGGUGGUUUGACGUGAAGUGAACCCUAAGCUUUACCUAGGAGAUACCCUACGCGCCUUUCCGUUCAAGGUAAGAAUAUAAUGGGGUUUACUGUGCCCCUCUAAAAGGUUAGUCCACAGAAUCCCAUACUGCAGUGAUUAAUUAAUAUAUAUAAUCCACCAUACAAUAAAACUCAAUAACAUGAUAUGACAAUUUUGUAAUUCACAGUCUUUCAAGGCAAUCAAACAAUUCACAUUUCAAUACAAUUGCCAACUAGCCAAUCAUGCCCGAUUUAUCAUAAGUCAAUCAAUUUAAACAAUCAAAUUGUCACAAUUAACAGUCUCCGUGUACUCUAUUUUUCAAAAUCACUAUUAAUUUCAAAACAAUUUAUAAUUUAAUUUCAUUGAAACACAUUUAUUCAUAAAGCAUGAAAAUUUACCUUUUUAAAUUUCUUUUUCCAUAGAAUUCAUGAAAUCAUCUAAAAACCACCAUAGAUAAUUAAAAUGACAGUAAGUUUACUCACAAUGUCUAGAAUGUAGACUUUUGACGCACUCUGUCUACUGGUCCUCGGAUGCAAUUUCCUUGCCUUUAUCGGAGGAUUCACCACCUUGACACAGUACAAAAUCGAGAAAUUCACUACAUUGGUACUAAAUUGAAAUUAAACUAAUUUAGACUAUUAAUGCAUAAAAUGGAAUGCAAAAAUGCACUGGCAACUAUCUAAACUCGAUAUUAGCCUAAUUCGUCUUAUCACCUGAUUAAAUUACUAACGCGUCCAAUUUAAUCUCAAAUUAAUUUUUUUCAGUUUCUAUACCUCAAUUGCACCCAAAUUGACUUAAUGUCCCUCAGUGUGGUGCAAAUUAUCAAUCUCGAUAGCAAAUUACGAAAAUACCCCUAAUGGGUAAAAAUUCGUAUUUUUGCUCCGAAAAUUCCCAUUAUUUUUCUAGGCUCAUAAUUCAUCAUUUUAACCAAUUCUCCUAGAAAUAAAAAAUCAAACUCAUCCUCACUCAUACAUGGUAAAUUCGGCCAUUAAUGGUUGUGGGAGAAAAUAAAUUCUUUUCUUGUUGUUUUAUUUCUAAAUAUGCUAAACUAACUAAAAAUACUAACAUAACUUAAAAUCAAAUUAAUCUAACAACUUUCUCUCUCCUAACCCAUUCUGAUCAGCCAACAAUUCAUCAUAAAAACAUGUAAUUUAAGCAUGGAAAAUAAGGAGAAAUUCUUAAGGAAAAUAGAUUUCAAGCUUAAGUUGAAAAAUCCUACCUUUUUCACUUGUUUUCCUUGAUUUUCCACACUUUUUCUCUUGAAAUUCCUCACCUAGGGUUUG
rnacentral:lncRNA from 1 species